rnacentral:tRNA from 1 species
GCCGGAGUGGCGGAACUGGUAGACGCGCACGACUCAAAAUCGUGUUCGGUAGCCCCGAGUGUGGGUUCGAUUCCCACCUCCGGCACCA